rnacentral:rRNA from 1 species
GAGUUUGAUCCUGGCUCAGGAUGAACGCUGGCGCGUGCUUAACACAUGCAAGUCGAACGGUGAAAGAGGGAGCUUGCUCCUUCUGGAUCAGUGGCGAACGGGUGAGUAACACGUGAGUAACCUGCCCUUGACUCUGGGAUAAGCGUUGGAAACGACGUCUAAUACCGGAUACGAGCUUACGGAGGCAUCUCCAGGAGCUGGAAAGAACUUCGGUCAAGGAUGGACUCGCGGCCUAUCAGGUAGUUGGUGAGGUAACGGCUCACCAAGCCGACGACGGGUAGCCGGCCUGAGAGGGUGACCGGCCACACUGGGACUGAGACACGGCCCAGACCCCUACGGGAGGCAGCAGUGGGGUAAUAUUGCACAAUGGGCGAAAGCCUGAUGCAGCAACGCCGCGUGAGGGACGACGGCCUUCGGGUUUGUAAACCUCUUUUAGUAGGGAAGAAGCGAAAGUGACGGUACCUGCAGAAAAAGCACCGGCUAACUACGUG